rfam:Myotis davidii contig43444, whole genome shotgun sequence.
GGCGAUUCUUGGGUGACACACCCUGGAAUUGGGCUCCCUCUUCUCUGGUUCCGGGUGUCACCUGAGAACCGCA